rnacentral:rRNA from 1 species
GCUUACGGCCAUACCACCCUGAGCACGCCCGAUCUCGUUGAUCUCGGAAGCUAAGCAGGGUCGGGCCUGGUUAGUACUUGGAUGGGAGACCGCCUGGGAAUACCAGGUGCUGUAAGCU